CAAAAACAUAAACAGCAUGAUGAACAGAGCUUCUCUACUCCGACUGCUCUCCGUCAUCUCCCUACUGUGCUGCACAACAAAGCAAGCUCAUCUGACUGUGAG